UGUGGCUGGUGGUUCAGCAUAUCGCAUCACGUUCUCGCCUUUUACUAGAGCAUGCCGUGUAGGACCGCCAACGAAAAGUCACUUUGCGUAAUUUCUCGCCUCUCAGCCUUGACUGAAUU
rnacentral:snRNA from 1 species